UACGGAGGGUGCAAGCGUUAAUCGGAAUUACUGGGCGUAAAGCGCACGCAGGCGGUGAAUUAAGUCUGAUGUGAAAGCCCCGAGCUUAACUUGAGAAUUGCAUCUGAAACUGGUUGGCUAGAGUCUGGUAGAGGGGGAUAGAAUUCCAUGUGUAGCGGUGAAAUGCGUAGAGAUGUGGAGGAAUACCGGUGGCGAAGGCGGUCCGCUGGACAACAACUGACGCUCAGGGGCGAAAGCGUGGGGAGCGAACAGG
rnacentral:rRNA from 1 species